CUGAGUUACCGCUCAUCAACCCUUUGUGAACAUUACCUUAACUGUUGCUUCGGCGGGUAGGCGUCCCCUAAAAAGGACGUCUCCCGGCCCUCUCCCGUCCGCGGGGUGGGGCGCCCGCCGGAGGACAACCAAACUCUGAUUUAACGACGUUUCUUCUGAGUGACACAAGCAAAUAAUCA
rnacentral:misc_RNA from 1 species